AAAUUUUAGAGAAGAGGGAGACGGAUUGCAAGACCUACAUCAUCACCAAUGUCAAAGACGUGAAUGAGAACGAUGGCAAAUUUUGCAGUUUUGCAUCGUUCUACGGCAGGAUGAUGUCUAUAUCCAAUGCCGGGAAGCAGUCCUUCAUAGACUUUGCUAUGGACUUGCAGAUAGACAGAGAGCAGAUAUUCUUUUUGCCCAAGAAAGAUGCCGCUACAAAAUCUGACUAGCCGAGUCUCACGGGGAAGACCUUAACGCCAGAGGGACCAUUUUCCGGGCAAGCAACUCCCGGGCUGGGGACCCCACUCUCCUCGCUCCAGGUCUGGAUCCCUCUGUCAGUACGUGGCAAUGACAGAGGGGGUGAGUGGUCUGGGACACCCAGAAGACCCUUCCAGAGGGAUUCCCUUUUGGCUCCUGUGCUGUUUUCCCUGGAACGACGAGAGCAGAAGCAUCGGAAACUCCACCUCCACCAGCCGCUCUGUGCAAUUUUGUCUUCACUAAAACAUAAACACCUCUGAUAAAUGCAUAAUA